UUACAUAGUGCCAGGGGCGUAGUGCAGGCCACACCUGGACUUCCAUAUCAUAUCAUCAUGUCAUAACAUAUGAGGGCUAAUGGAUCAUUCAACAUUCAUCCACAUCAACAACAUAUUAUGCAAUGCAACAUAUUCGUGAUUUCUAAUGCAAACAACCUAAAAUAUCACAUGGCAUCCGUGAUGCAUGAACAUGCUCAAAACUGAUUUAUUUAUUUAAAAGCAUAAGAGUUAUUCCACUCACCUCUGGCUAGCUCUGACACUGACUGAAGCAGCUGACUCACUGCUGAGGUCCUCGGUUCCUCGGGUCCGAACCUACACAGGUGGACUCAAAUGAGGGACCAACAUACUAUAACAUGACUCUGAAAACAUCCCCCAAAAACCCUCUAAAACACCUCAAAAUAUCCAUGCAAGAACAUGCAAAGGAAGGCUGGACAGGACACUUUCGGCGGCAGGUUCGGCGGCCGAAAGUCCCUCCAGAGCCGAAAGUCAGGCAGGUUCGGCGGCACCUUCGGCGGCCGAAACUCCCAGACAGAGGCGAA
rnacentral:lncRNA from 1 species